rnacentral:rRNA from 1 species
GCUACGGGGGGCAGCAGUGGGGAAUAUUGCACAAUGGGGGAAACCCUGAUGCAGCGACGCCGCGUGAGUGAGGAAGUAUUUCGGUAUGUAAAGCUCUAUCAGCAGGGAAGAAAAUGACGGUACCUGACUAAGAAGCCCCGGCUAACUACGUGCCAGCAGCCGCGGUAAUACGUCGGGGGCAAGCGUUAGCCGGAUUUACUGGGUGUAAAGGGAGCGUAGAAGGCUAAGCAAGUAAGAAGUGAAAACCCAGGGCUCAACCUUGGGACUGCUUUUGAAACUGAGUAGCUAGAGUGCAGGAGAGGUCAGCGGAAUUCCUAGUGUAGCGGUGAACUGCGUAGAUCUUAGGAGGAACACCAGUGGCGAAGGCGGCUUACUGGACUGUAACUGCCGUUGCGGCUCGACAGCGUGGGGAGCAAACAGGAUUAGAUACCCCUGUAGUC